rnacentral:rRNA from 1 species
UCUGGCUCAGGAUGAACGCUAGCGGCAGGCUUAACACAUGCAAGUCGAGGGGCAACGCGAGUAGCAAUACUUGGCGGCGACCGGCGCAAGGGUGCGUAACGCGUGAGCAACAUGCCCGUAUCAGGGGGAUAAUCCAGGGAAACUUGGUCUAAUACCCCAUAGUAAUUUUGUAAGGCAUCUUAUAAGAUUUAAAGCUUUGGUGGAUACGGAUUGGCUCGCGUGACAUUAGCUGGAUGGUAAGGUAACGGCUUACCAUGGCUAUGAUGUCUAGGGGUUCUGAGAGGAAGGUCCCCCACACUGGAACUGAGACACGGUCCAGACUCCUACGGGAGGCAGCAGUGAGGAAUAUUGGACAAUGGAUGGAAAUCUGAUCCAGCCAUGCCGCCGUGAAGGAAGAAGGUCCUAUGGAUUGUAAACUUCUUUUGUAUGGGAGCAAUAAGGCCUACGAGUAGGUUGAUGAGAGUACCAUACGAAUAAGCACCGGCUAACUCCGUGCCAGCCGCCGC